AUGUGGCCCCUGUAUAGGCAGAACUUUAUGGUGUGGGAACUUGGUAAAACCAAAUCCCUUGCCACCGACAGAAAGAAGAGGGAAUAUAUCCAGAGGUCACGCUCCUCAAGGAGGAAUAUAUCCAGAGGUCGUGUUCCUCAAGGAGGUCACCAACUCCUAACUGCUUGUCCAGCUAUGACCUCAUUAGGGGAUUAACCCAUCUAUGAGGUAUGUGCCUUUGUGAUUAAAUCACCUCUCAGUGCCACUAGCUAAAGGACAAGAUCUUCCCGGGAUCCAUGUGUGGCAGGCAUUUCUUAUCCAAACCUGUGAAAGCACAGGAGACACAAGUCCAGGGAAGAGGUAUGUCGUGGGACAAAACUUUUCCUAGUGAGACACUAGACACAUCAACUACUCACCAAAGAUAGGGAACCUACCACAGACCAAAGUAUGGAUACCACCAAAGAACAACCGGGUGAACCAAUGAGUUUUAUGAGGGUUACUUACAGGAAUAUGGGUCCUCAUCAGCAGAACUGAUUCAGAUAGCUGCACCACCAAGUCUAGGCAUAUUUUAGGCACAGCACAAUUUGGUGAAAAUUUUCUUGGUGAUAUUUAACUCAAUCCCAUGUGGACAAUAAAGUUUAAGGUGUGACUUUAUCAAUACUUUGUAAAGUACAUGUGACAUAGAAUCCAUAUAGAUUGACUACAUUGAUACCUUCCAUAAUGAUCAGUUCUGUAGAUGACAUGCUCAUGAUAAGAGUCUGGAAGAAGAUUUGAUGUGGUCUUGGCCACACGGCAGAAAAGGUCACCAGACUGUUAGUGACAUCUGCUUCCAGCCUUCUGGGUGGGUAACAAAUUAUACACGCCUUCUUUUGAAGGAACAACUCUGUGAUUAAGGUUACUGGUUUCUACCUGGAGGUGGUGGUACACACCUUUCUUUAGUCCCAGCACUUGGGAGGCAGAGGCAGGUGGAUCUCUUUUUUUUUUUUUUUUUUAAAGAUUUAUUUAUUUAUUAUAUAUAUAAGUACACUGUAGCUGUCUUCAGAUACACCAGAAGAGGGCAUCGGAUCUCUUUACAGAUGGUUGUGAGCCACCAUGUGGUUGCUGGGAAUUGAACUCAUGACCUCUGAAAGAGCAGUCGGGUGCUCUUAACUGCUGAGCCAUCUCUCCAGCCCGGCAGGUGGAUCUCUUAAGUUUGAGGCUAGCCUAGUCUAUAGAACAAGUCCCAGGACAACCAGGGUUACACAGAGAAACCCUGUCUUGAAAAAACAAAGCAUUCCUGGUUCCCCUGUUGCUUAUCUGUGAGCACAAGGACCUUCGUCCCUACCAUAGGAAGAGAUGGCUCAACAUGUUAUAAAUACUUGUUCCUCAUUACGUCACUAAAGUACCAUUCAUGACUAAUCCAGAGGAGGUGAUGGGCCAAUGACUAUUCGAGGUUUUGUUUGUCAAGUAACUGUCAUAUUCUUUCUAUGAUAUAAUCUAAGUUUGGAAAAAAACCAUUACAUUGUAAGUUAUCAAUGGAGAAAGUUUUAUUUCCAAAUUACUAUCCACUUCCAAAACAGCCAUGUUAAACUGUGGAAAGACAAGGCUUAUUUAGAAUUAUCAAGAUUCAGGGAAGAGUAAAGACAUAUGUUAUUCACAGAAAAGCAUUAGUGGAAACAAGUCCAGUCAAGCGAGGCUGUUGGGAGGCAAAUGACUGAAUCGAAUAAGUAUAAAUGUGUGUAUACACACAUAAUAUUCUACUGUUAUUACUAUUAUCAUUUAUUGCUGGCCAUGAUGCAGCUAUCUUGCCUUAGCUUCCCAAGUGCUGGUGUUAGAGGCCUGAGCCACCACACCCAGCCUUGCUUAUCUUUAUAGACAGGGAUCCUAUUAGUUCAACCAGAGUUCUAUGUGUCUCAGAGGAAAUUUAGUGAAAGUUACAUUUUUACUGCUUUAAGACAGGUGGAAUUCAGAUGAUACCAGAAAGACUAAUGGCUUUCCUGAGAUACUAAAGUAUCUUAUUCCCUGUGUUUAAAUGGCUCUCAUGACAUUAGAUGCAGCAUUCUGGCAAGUGUGUCUUUUGGCUAUCAUUUAAAUAUUAGUUUUUAAGUUCUAAAACCAAUAUUGGUACUUUUAUUUCUUCAGUAAUCAUUCCUUUUUUUUUUUUUUUUUUUUUCGGAGCUGGGGACCGAACCCAGGGCCUUGCACUUGCUAGGCAAGCGCUCUACCACUGAGCUAAAUCCCCAACCUCUCUACCACUGAGCUAAAUCCCCAACCCCUUCAGUAAUCAUUCAUUCACUAUUAUACUACAGGAAUUUAAUAACACACCACAAAAAGGGCCUAAAAUAAAAUGAAAUUAAGCUCCAAAUGAAGGACUUCCUAGAAGAGUGUUUAGGUAACCAAUAGGUGCCAAGAAAGGAAGGAAGGAAGGAAGGAAGGAAGGAAGGAAGGAAAAGUCAUGAUAAAGGACAUCAGGUAGAAUGUGAGUCUCAGAGUCAAAUUUCUAAGGCAGCAGAAACCAGGGCAUAGACCACACAAGUUAACUAACCAUAUGACUGAUUUUUGUUGUAUUUGUGUGUUUGUGCACACCAGAGCAAGCAUGUGAAGGCCUAAGGGCAGCUUAUAGGAAUUGGUUUUUUCCUUCAACCAUGUUGGUCUCAGGGACUGAACCCAUGAUUGGUGGAGAUCACCUUUACUCUUGCUAUCUUCUUUCAUGAAUUAAAAUUAUUCCUUUAGUUUCAUGACCAAAAACAUUCAGUUCUGUGCUGUCAUCGUGAGAGUUAGACUCCUUGGUAGGUAGACAGAGGCGUCAUGGCUAAGUAAAAGUCAUGGAAUUUCCAAGAUGGCCAAAUUCUUCCUCAACCUCUGGACUUGAGACAAAAGCCUAGCAGCCUUUGUCUCCUACUGAUGGACUGACUCAACAAAUUCAAGGCCUAUUUAGGACAAGUCACAUGUUUCAGACCAAUCAACCAUUCCAUCUUCUUCAGACUGACCAGCCCAAAGGUAGGGUUGACUCUUUAGAGGCCUUAGAACUCCCAUACCCCAAGAAGAGACUUCAUCUUCAGAGUAUCCUAUUUGCUUUGCAGAGGAUCUUUUUCUCUGUGUGUCUGCUGUCUGGAUGCAUCCCUCACCCUCCAAUAAACUUCUGCCUUUAACUGUUGACUCUGAGGUGCUUGAGAUUUCCUGUUGCUACCUGUUGCCUCCAGGAUUUUUCCUGCCUUUUAGCUCUUUAAAACUGGCAGAGAAAAUCCAAUCAAGACCCCCAGACUGGAUCAUUUCCAGACUAUGAAUAUGAAGUAGAAAGCUCCAGGCCCCAUUCAUACCAUGGUCUUCUCUUUGUAGUGUUUUGUACUACAGCUGUCGGGGCUCCACAUCUGCUCUAUUCUGUGUCCUUAUAGUAAGUCCACAACCUCCACUCCGACAGGAGGCCUGCUGGUAUUGCUGCUUGCCCUCUGGAGAAGGCUUCAACUCCAAAAAAUAGAAGUGUUGGACUUUGAGCACAGACAGGCUAUGGGGGCAGUUUUGGAGGUAUAUCUAUAAAUGUGUGUGCCCAAAGAGGUAAGGCGCCUGGUUUUGAUAAGCUGCCAAGCCAUUGAUUCCACCAAACUGUUUUUAGAGCUAGAUUAGAAUUAAUAUCAUGAAAGUCCAAGUGUUUAUUUUUGACAAACAUUUGUCCAUUCUUUGGGGCAUUUAAUGUCAGAAAUUGUCCGUCUAGUUUGGAUUUUGGUCGGUUCAUGAGUAGGAAGACAGCUUCAGGGCAUGAUCACAUUAGGAAGUCUGGCCUUGGGACACUUUGGUUUCAGCCUAGUGAAGUUUGGAGACCUAACCCCAGACAGUAAACAAAUGUGUAUUCCUUUGAUCCCCUACGUGGUGGCCAUUUGUUGCUACAGCCCUAGGACACAUGGUGACUUUCAGUUCUGCAAACAAAGAUAAAACUUCACUAGCAUCUCUAUCCCAAAGGCCCCGUAAAAAGAGAAAAGCCACAAUCAAGUUUUUUUCUGUUGAAUGUGGCCCACCAGACUGAAGCCAGCCAUCUCUAAAACGAGGAAUAAAGGUCAGUUGUCACUUAAUUCUGAGUUAGACAACCAGUGAGAGUCAGUUAUGUAUGCCGAGAAAAGUAGACUGAAUGAAAGCCUGCAGAAUGGAGAAGGGUACCACCACCCGUGUAGCACAGGCCCGCAGGUUAAAUGGGGGUAAGAUAGCAUCCUUGACAAAUGUAGUUAGUCCUGUUCGUAGCAAAUCACAUACCCCAACUGCAUACAGUGCUGACAGGCUCUGCUUGUUUACUCUCUUGGGUUUAAGGCACUGUCUUAUGACACUGUCAAACGUCAGCCACUGAUGUGCCUAUGAGCAGCAACAUUUUAAGAAUUUUAAACGAAAGCUGUUUCAUAUGAAAAUUAAUACUUAUUCUUAAUAGUUCAUCAAUACCUGUAAGCAUCGUCUGAAGCCUGUGAUCAGACUUGGGAUGUAGAUCAAUGGUAAAAUGCCUACUUACUGUGAAUAGGAAAAAAGCCAGUGAGUUUUGGAAUGAGACUGCGAGCCACUCUAGAUGCCCAUGCCUUGUGAUGUUUGUGCCCUGUUCAAAUCAGCUACGAAUCAAUACAUUAUCUUGAGUAAAUUAGGUGGACUAGAUCUUUAGUAAGUAUCUAUAUACACACACAUGUAUACACACAUCUUAGUAUUUAGAAAGUUUACAUUUUACAUGUAUAUAAAAUAGCAUCUGCUUCUUGAAAUUAUCAGUGUUAAUGUCUUUAGAUGUAUUUUUAUUGUCUUAAUUAUGUCUAUGUCUUAGACUUUCUGUUACUCUGCUAAAACAACAUAGCCAAAAACAUUCCUCCUGGGGAGGAAAGUGUUUAUUUUGCUUACAUAUCAUAGUUUAUCAUUGAAGAAAGUCCUGAUAGAAACUUAAACGGGACAGGAACUUGGAGGCAGGAAUUUUUACAGUAGCCAUGGGAGGAAUGUGUUGCUUACUGGCUUGCUCCUUUGUGACAUGCUCAGCCUGCUUUCUUAUAGGACCUAUGGGUUCUUAUAGAAGCCAGGACCACUAACCCAGGGGUGGUACUAUUGGGCCUUGGCUGGGCCUUCCCACAAAUAAUCACUAAUUAAGAAAUUGCCUAGGGUUGGGGAUUUAGCUCAGUGGUAGAGUGUUUGCCUAGCAAGCGCAAGGCCCUGGGUUCGGUCCCCAGCUCUGAAAAAAAGAAAGAAAAAGAAAAACAAACAAAGAAAUUGCCUACAGCCAGAUCUUAUGGAGACAUUUUUUUUUUUUUUUGGUUCUUUUUUUUUCGGAGCUGGGGACCGAACCCAGGGCCUUGUGCUUCCUAGGUAAGCGCUCUACCACUGAGCUAAAUCCCCAGCCCCUAUGGAGACAUUUUCUUAAUUGAGGCUCCCUCCUCUCUGUGAUACAAGUUUGUGUCAACUUGACAGAAAAAGUAGUGUGUGUGUGUGUGUGUGUGUGUGUGUGUGCUCGCGCGCGUGCAUGUAAGUAUAGGUUCCCCUGUGGAAGUCAGAGGUCAGAUCCCCCUGAAGCUGGAGGUACAGGGAGUUAUAAGCUGCUUGAUGUGGUUGCUGGGAACUGAACUUAGGUCCUCUGGAAUUGUUUUGAUAACAAAAUUCCCAGCCCCACAACAGUGUGUGCUCUUAACUAUUGAGCCGUCUCUCAGGCCUGGGUGACGGUGAAUUUAAUAGGUAGAAAGUUGGCCUCCAUAUUUUUAGGUCCUAAUUCUUAUACAUGUGAAUUUGUUGUCUUAUAACCAAAGGCUAUUACAUUGUAGUUAAAUUAAAACAAAACAAGACUCUGGCAUUUGUCUGCAAUUCCAACACUCAGACACUGAGACUGGAGACUGUUGAUGCCGACCUAGGGUAAUGUCUAAGACUCUGUCUUAAAGAACUGGGCCAGCCAGCCAUGCUGGUACAUGCUUGCAAACAAAACUUCGGAGGUGGAGACAGCAAGAGGACCAGGAGUCCAAGGUCACCCUCCACUCCAUAUAGAUACAGGCCAACCUGAGCUACAUGACCCCCUCUUCCAGUCUCAGGAAAAGGAAACAGGAAGUAAACACAAACAAAACAUAAAACUUACAUGCUUGUAGAUUUUUCUCCAUUUCUUGCUUGUUUGUUUUGAGAUUGUUUAUUUUUUCCAGACUGGGUUUCUCUGUCUCCCCACAGGAGUUCUAGAACUAUCUUUAUAGACCAUGCUGGACUUGAACUCACAGGUUUUUUGCCUGCCUCUGCCUCUCAAAUCCUGGGAUUAAAUAUGUGUACCACUACACCCAAUAAUUUAUUUUACUUUAUAUUUUUGCUAUUUCUUGUCAAUACAGAAAAGUAAAGAGCCGGGCUUGAAAAUACUCACCGAGUAAAAAGCACUGUUGUUUAAUAGCUUAUAGAGUUUAAGCAAAUUACUUAAUAUAGGCAAUUCCUUAAACUUUUUUUCACCUGUAAAAGGAUGUCGUGAAGAGCAACUAAAGUUUCUGAUUUUUCCUGGGAAACUUAUUACCAUGAAUAACCAUGACUGUGUCAUUGAAAAUCAACAGUAAACUCCCAAAGGUUGUCAGGUGAAGUCAGAAUACACAAAUACACUUACCUUUUUUGUCCUAGGAAAUAAAAAUUACCCACCUAAUGGUCAGGAUUUAAUGCCUACUGUGGCCCCAGGGACUUUUGGAUUGAUGGCUGUGAAAAAUUCAUCAAUUUUUAAAAUCUUAUUUAUUGACAAGUACGUGCAAGGCUCUGGUCUGGGCAUUGGGGAGAUAGUGAUGGAUACAAUUCUUUCUUUAAGGAAUAUAAUGUACUGUGUAUGAUGGCUAGUUUUGUCAGUUUGACACAGGCUAGAGUCAUCUAAGAGAAGGGAAACUGAUAAAAUGCCUCCAUAAAAUCAGGCUGCAGACCAUGUCUGUAGGCAUUCUCUUAAUUAGUGAAUUAGUGAUUGAUGGGGGAGGAACCUGCCCAUUAUGGGUAGAGCUACCCCUGGGCUGGUGGUCCUGGGUUCUAUGAGAAAGCAGACUGAAUAGUUUCAAUAAAAAUGGUGCACACACACACACACACACACACACACACACACACAACACACACACACAACACACACACACCCCCAUAAGCCAAUAGAGAGGCUAUUAGGAGACAUGACCUUGUUGCAGUAGGUGUGGUGGUAUUGGAGGACCUGUGCCACUGCGGGGUGGGCUUUGAGGUCUCAUAUGCUCAAACAUGGUCAGUGUGUCUGUAUCGCUUUGCUGCCUGCGGAUCAAGAUAUAGAACUCUCAGUUCCUUCUCCAGCACCAUGUCUGCCUGCACACUGCCAUGCUUCCCACCAUGACAUUAAUGCUAACCUCUGAGACUGUAAGCCAGCCCCAGUUAAAUGUUUUUCUUUGUAAGAGUCAUGUACAUGAUUAUGGUGUGUCUUCACAACAAUAAAACCCUAAGACACUGAACAAGCCAUGAGGAGCAAACCAUUGAGCAGCCCUCCCAUGGCCUCUGAAUGAGCUCCUGCCUCCAGCUCCUGCCCUGCUUUGAAUUCCUGUCCUGACUCCCUUCUUGAUGGACUAUGAUGUGGAAGUGUAAGCCAAAUAAACCCUUUCCUUCCCAA